GAGUUUGAUCUUGGCUCAGGAUGAACGCUGGCGGCGUGCCUAAUACAUGCAAGUCGAGCGAACAGACGAGGAGCUUGCUCCUCUGACGUUAGCGGCGGACGGGUGAGUAACACGUGGAUAACCUACCUAUAAGACUGGGAUAACUUCGGGAAACCGGAGCUAAUACCGAAUAAUAUAUUGAACCGCAUGGUUCAAUAGUGAAAAACGGUUUUGCUGUCACUUAUAGAUGGAUCCGCGCCGCAUUAGCUAGUUGGUAGGGUAACGGCUUACCAAGGCGACGAUGCGUAGCCGACCUGAGAGGGUGAUCGGCCACACUGGAACUGAGACACGGUCCAGACUCCUACGGGAGGCAGCAGUAGGGAAUCUUCCGCAAUGGGCGAAAGCCUGACGGAGCAACGCCGCGUGAGUGAUGAAGGUCUUCGGAUCGUAAAACUCUGUUAUUAGGGAAGAACAAAUGUGUAAGUAACUAUGCACGUCUUGACGGUACCUAAUCAGAAAGCCACGGCUAACUACGUGCCAGCCGCCG
rnacentral:rRNA from 1 species